UACGAAGGGGGCUAGCGUUGUUCGGAUUUACUGGGCGUAAAGCGCACGUAGGCGGAUCGAUCAGUCAGGGGUGAAAUCCUAGAGCUCAACUCUGGAACUGCCUUUGAUACUGUCGAUCUGGAGUAUGGAAGAGGUGAGUGGAAUUCCGAGUGUAGAGGUGAAAUUCGUAGAUAUUCGCAAGAACACCAGUGGCGAAGGCGGCUCACUGGCCCGAUACUGACGCUGAGGCACGAAAGCGUGGGGAGCAAACAGG
rnacentral:rRNA from 1 species